AUCCAGCUGAUGAGUCCCAAAUAGAACGAAACGCGCGUCAAACUGGAU
rnacentral:hammerhead_ribozyme from 1 species